ensembl:misc_RNA Gm22533 predicted gene, 22533
GGAUGUGAGGGCAGUGGCUGUGAUAUCUUCAGCCAGUUGAUCACUGUGGUGGAUGUGUCUGAUCUGUCCACAUCCUCACCUCUCCAUGCACAUCCUUCUUCACGUGGCUUGUCGGCUAAAGAGGACAACCUCCCUGACAGGGGCGGGCCAGUCUUUGGUCAGAGUCAAGGAUAUACAAGUAGCUGCAUGCUCCUGAUUGGAGCCUCCAAAUACGCUGUCAAGGAGAACUUCCAAAGAACAGCCUCAUAGCCCACAGAACACAUUUUCUGU